rnacentral:rRNA from 1 species
UACCAGCUCUCCGAGUGGUGUGGAUGUUUAUUGGGCCUAAAGCAUCCGUAGCUGGCUGGGCAAGUCCCCUGUUAAAUCCACCGAUUUAAUCGUUGGUGUGCGGGGGAUACUGUUCGACUAGGGGACGGGAGAGGCCGACGGUAUUUUCGGGGUAGGGGUGAAAUCCUAUAAUCCCGGGAAGACCACCAGUGGCGAAGGCUGUCGGCUAGAACGCGCCCGACGGUGAGGGGAUGAAAGCUGGGGGAGCUAACCGGAUUAGAUACCCGGGUAGUCCCAGCUGUAAACGAUGCAGGCUAGGUGUUUGGGACGGCCACGUGCCGCUCUAGUGCCGCAGGGAAGUCGCUAAGCCUGCCGCCUGGGGAGUACGGCCGCAAGGGCUGAAACUUAAAGGAAUUGGGCGGGGGGAGCACCACGAAGGGGUGAAGCUUGCGGUUU